GAAUAUCUAAGGUUUCCAGAGUAAAGCUGAUCUGCUCUGGGUAAGUCGGGACCUAAGGCGAGGACGAAAGUCGUAGUCGAUGGAUAACAGGUGGAGAUUCCUGUACUCCGUAUAAACAGAACUGUGGGGACACGGGUGGAAAGCCUGACCCGGGAAUGGAAAGACCGGGACAAGCGAGGUACCUGAUAAGGAGGCAAAUCCCCUUAUCAAUGGGAAGACGUGAUGUGGAGCGAACCAAAGGGUAGCGAAGCAGGUGAGCCAGCCGUCGAGAAAAGCCGCUAUUGUUUUGUACGGACCCGUACCGUAAACCGACACAGGUGGAUGAGGAGAGAAUCCUAAGGCCGACGGGAGAAGCAUUGUUAAGGAACUCGGCAAAAUGACCCCAUAACUUCGGGAGAAGGGGUGCC
rnacentral:rRNA from 1 species